AUCCAGAUGACGAGUCCUAAGUAGGGCGAAACGCACGUCAUGGAU
rnacentral:hammerhead_ribozyme from 1 species